AUGACGUGUAGGACGUGCGACGGCACGCAGAGUUGACCAUCGAGACGGAAUAGCUUGACUUGACUGAAGAAGUUUAAACUUCCUCCCUUAAACAGCUUCUGUGAAUAUAACGAGGUCGGCGAAGAAGUCCAAGUUGUUUGAUCGUCGAUAUACAUGAUGGAGUGGACCUCUCAGCAAGAAGAGAAGUAGAAGUUUUCUCAGGAUGUGGUCAAAGAGCUGGAGAAGAAAAACACCUGUUUCACUUCUCGCUCUCUGAGUGGACACUGCUGAACCAGAGACAGAAAUAGAGAGAGAGAGAGAGAGAGACAGAGAGAGAGAGAGAGAGAGGGAGAGA